CUGACUCUCCAGAAACCGAAACCUAACUUCACUUUCGUUUUUCGUUUCAGAAUGGAAACGAAAAAGGAAAACACUUUUGUCCACAAGUGACCCAGAUUGACAACGACCUGAAGGCCAGAGCUUCAGCCUACAACAAUCUGAAAGGAAACCUGCAGAAUCUGGAGAGGAAGAAUGCAUUUUGCUUCUACCAAAAAAACUUGUGACGGGAUCAUAAUUAGGACAGCGGUACGGACCGUAAACAAAGCAUUUACGAGAGUUCAUGGCUGUCGAGCUUCUCCUGGGGGAUCGAAAGGUGUUCCAGCCCAGGCAGCAUAUUUAACAUUCCCCCCAGUGACUUCCAUGUCUGCUCAAGGUGGAAUGUAACCGGAAAACCUCAAAAGGAAAGUUUCUUGGGUUUUUUGGAUGCUCAAAACCACCUCGCUGACGCCUGUCGAUGAGGAGGAGCAGCAGCUCUACUCCGAGAAGACUGAAUUUCAUUUUUGAAUUGUAAAGAGAAAUUCCACCCUUAAGUAAAAUUCGGUCUGUUGCCAUAUUCCCCAGAGUUAUGCCCAUCCUUCACAUUUUACCAACACAUGUCGGGGAUGUAACACGGGAUCACAUCAGCUGCGAAGUGCCGCGAAGUGGAUCGCUCACGAAAUUCACUCGCUGCCCGCUGCUCCUCUGCUCCCAUCAGGCAAGAAUUUUCAACAAGUGCUUUUGCUCACGCCUACAGGUUUCCAACCCCUCCCACCCCACCCCCUGUGCCCUUGCUGUGUGUGUGUGUGUGUGUGUGUGUGUGUGUGUGUGUGUGUGUGUGACCAGUUUGCCCUACUUGUUGACAUCAGAAACUGAGCUGAUCCUGCAGCAGUCUUGUAGACCAGUUCCUUUCUUAAUGGGUAACUAAGUAACCUAUUGUAUUGUAUGGUUACCUUUGAAUUAAAUUUAUUUGUUUUUGUUCACAUUUAAUAAAUGCAAAAUUUGCUGUAAAAACUGCAUUUAAAAUUAUGGAAACGCUGUGUGUGUGUUUGUGUCUUUGUUUAUUUUCAUCUCUCUAGUCUGUUUAGAUACACAAAAAUGGUCACAUUUAUCAAUCGCUGUGUUUCAUUUAGAAAAUUUUCUUAAUUUUGUUAAAUUUACCGACUUGCCUCGUGUUUGGGUUUGACUUCCUGCCAGAAUGGACGCGGCUCACUCACGGCUCACGAAAAAAUGAGAGCACACGCCGGAACGAUUGCUGCACGGUGCGGCUGAUGUGACAGAGACUUUAGGGUAACAAGGGCGCCGAAUAGAAGCGCUCGUUGUUCCAAGGCGCUUUCGCGUCUGAUGUGAUCCGGGCGUAAGAUGGGUGGGAAAAAAGCAUUUCGUAAACAACCCAGACGUUCUCCCAAUUAAGCAUUAUUCUGUCAGCUUUAGCUUAGCAUAAACAAUGUAAGUGAAUGGUAACAACUAGCACUGCUGUAAGCUGCCGCUGCAAGGCACAAGGAUAUGGACCAGUGGCGUGACAUCUGUCACUUUUGAUUUUACUAAAUAACAUUUACAACAUUUGACACUAAUGACAGUAAAUGGCGAGUUUUGGGGCAGCUGUGUCGUGUCCGUGUGCUUUGCAAUGACGGCUUACUACGUUGCUUUGUCAUUAUGCGGUCCCAAGUCGAAAUCGUCUCUUGUAAUUCCUCCAUGAUACUUAUUUUACUGAUGUGAUUAUUUGAGGUCAUCAAGGAACAUUACGAUCAUUAUUGGGUCAUUUUCUUGACUGAUUCACAUAAAAUGCUAGCUGUUACCAUUCACUUACAUUGUUUAUGCUAAGCUAAAGCAAACAGAACACUGCCUGACUAGGAGAACGACUGGGCUGGUUACAAAAUGCUUUUUCCCUCUCGUCUAAACCUGAGGAAUACGGCAACAGACUAAAUUUCACUUAGGGGGUGAAAUAACCCUUUAAGUAGUUGACAAAAAUAAAUGAAAGAGUUUGUUGAUACACUGGGGAUUAUAAUAGCGACAUACUCAGUCAUGCAAAAAUCAUGCAUUAUUUUACUUGAUAGAAAAUAUAUGCAUAUUUAAACCUCCUGAGACCCUGCAGACUCGUACAAGGAUGUAGGUUUCUUACCCUACAAUAUUUUAGUCUUUGCAUCUGUUUUUAUUCUUAUUUUUUUUAACUAGGGAUGUAAGAAACAAACUGAUACAUUGAAAUAUUACUCUAACUGUAAUGCCUCCCUCUCCGGUCUCCCUCUAAAAUCACUCAACAAGCUACUGUUGGUCCAAAAUUCAGCUGCCCGGAUAAUCACCAAGACCUCCACUUUUGAUCACAUCACCCCUGUCCUGUAACAACUUCACUGGCUCCCUGUCAAAUACAGAAUUGACUAUAAGAUACUUCUUCAUGCCUUUAAAGCCAUCCAUAAUCUCGCUCCCCCUUAUCUUUCUAAUCUCCUCCACAUUGUCACUCCCACUCGCUCGCUCCGAUCAUCAUCUUCACCUUCCCUGUCUGUUCCUCGCACUCGUCUCUGUACUGUGGGAGCCAGAGCUUUCAGCCACUCAGCUCCAAUAUUCUGGAACACUCUACCGCCUGACCUCCGCAAUAUAAACCCCUUCUCAUCCUUCAAGUCUCAACUCAAAACUCACAUGUUCCGCCUGGCUUACUCACUGUAACUGUCCUCCUUCCAUCUACUCUUUUAGUCUAUUAUCCAUUGUGCUGCUCUGACUCUACCCUUGGGAAUUACUCUUCGCACUUAUUUCUUGUUGUUUGUAUUGCUUGCUGUUCCUUAUAUUUUGUCUUGUACAGUGACCUUGAGAGCUUUGAAAGGCGCUUGAAAUAAAAUGUAUUAUUAUUAUUAUUAUUUAUUAUUAUUUCAUGCUGUGACACUGAGUUGAUAUUUAAAAGCAGUGUAUAAAUUUUCUUUUGAGAAUUUACUUGCCAACAUUUGCUGUAUUUCUUUUCUGUGGUGCAAUUCAAAUUCCGACUGGCAGGGGGCAGCAGUGUUUACUGACUUCAUUCUGAUGGAACGAUGAAAUCCAACAAUAACACCUGGAUGUGUCUUGGAAGCGUCUGGCCUGAGUUUGCUGCCGACAACAAGUGUUCAAUAACGAAGCCAAAACAUCCCCUUUACAGAUGCUGCCAUGCUGUAUGUUUUAGUAUUUGCAUAGAAGGAGGUGGAGCUUAAAAUAUACAAUGCAGCCAGCCACUAGGGGGAGAUUCGUUCAGCUUCUGUAUAGAGUUAUUAGUUGACAGCAUGUAUUAAAACUAAAUUUUAAUAACUGGAAAGUAUAAAAGCUCCUCCUCGUAACUUUAGAUAAGAAACGUUUGCAGAAAUCACAAACAGGACGUUUUACUAUUAAAGUAAAUGUAGAAAGUACACAAAAUUCUUGUUAUUUUUUAAAAUAAAUUAAAACCGCAAAUUUCUGUGCAGUGAACUUAACAGUGCCCUUAAAGCUUGCUUAGAGCCCAGAUGAAUCACUGGCAGGUACAGGACACGUCAGGAUUUUGUUACAGCCUGAAUUAGCAUACCUGUUGAAAGGUGACUCAGAGAGGGAGGAGCCUGAGGACGAGACUGCGAUGGAGGAAGAGUUAAGAAGAGAGAAGAGGGGAACGAGGUAGAAACAAGCUAGGUGUGGUAAGAUGCCUUAAGCACAUUCCUCGUGCAGCCGCACCCUACAUUUCAGCGUCUUUUUACCUGCUGGUUUGUUAUCACAACUCAUUCAUGUAUGAAGACACAUUUUUCACCAACAUCCUCCCAGCUGUAAGCUCUUAUUCCUCUCAUUUUUCCACAUUUGACUGUGCAAACAUGAUUUUGGCCAUUUUGUGUGUAACAGAUUAGAUGUUUGAGCAGGAGGCACACCCUCAGGGCUAUCAAAUACCUAUCAAACAAGGUGUGUCCUGUGUGGUGAACAUGUUUCAGGUCAAAGGACAGCCCAUAUAAAUGGAAUUGUAUCUCUAUUGCAGUAUGUUCUGAUGUCAUUGCUGCUAUUUGAGUGAGAGCGAGCGUUCGGCAGCUUGAAAGUGGAAAAGUUUUGUGUAAAAAGGGAGCGUGAAAAGAAAGAAAAAAUCUGACGAAUCAGCGUUUAAUGGUGGAAGUUUGUGUAUUUGAGCAGCUACACGCUUCUGAUCGGCCUCCUUCUGGUCAGAUGUGACAAAGAAAAGCAAGAAUUUACGGCCUCCAGCGGUGAGAUGAUUUAAGGGAGACUUGUUUAGACAUCAGAGGAACUGAGUUUAAAGUCAAGUGAUGCAACAAAGCAAGUCACUUAAAGAAAAAAGAUUUAAACAAAAAGGUUUUUUCUAAAAGGUUACCAAUCAAAAUAAACAUGAAGAAAUGAUACGGUUCAUUCAAAUUUAUUUUACUAAUCUCAUUUGACUAAAUAGAUUAACUGUAAAUGAGACAAAAACUGAUAGACUCUUAUAAUAUGAUGAUAAGGAAAUAAAAGUCGAGAACA